GACGGUUUAGUAUGGACUGAGGGGUAACGGUUAGCUUCAUCUAUGGGGUAGUGUGCCUUACGGAUAUGUGCAUCCUUCGGGAGCACUAGACUGAUGUGUGCAUCCUUCGGGAGCACUAGACUGAUGUGUGCAUCCUUCGGGAGCACUAGACUGAUGUGUGCAUCCUUCGGGAGCACUAGACUGAUGUGUGCAUCCUUCGGGAGCACUAGACUGAUGUGUGCAUCCUUCGGGAGCACUAGACUGAUAUGUGCAUCCUUCGGGAGCACUAGACUGAUAUGUGCGUUCUACGGAACCACUAGACUGUUAUGUAGGGUACCCC